ACGUAGGUGGCAAGCGUUGUCCGGAAUUAUUGGGCGUAAAGCGCGCGCAGGUGGGCUAGUCAGUCUCAUGUAAAAGUGCGGGGCUCAACCCCGUAGAGCGUGAGAAACUGCUAAUCUUGAGUGCCGGAGAGGAAAGCGGAAUUCCCAGUGUAGCGGUGAAAUGCGUAGAUAUUGGGAGGAACACCAGUGGCGAAGGCGGCUUUCUGGACGGUGUCUGACACUGAGGCGCGAAAGCCAGGGGAGCGAACGG
rnacentral:rRNA from 1 species